GUAGUUUUUCGCCGUCGAGGAGUUCCUGCAGAGCGGGCUCACCCCGCCCGGUUGCCAUUAGUUACCCGGACGCACCUCCCACCCCACCACCGGGUAAAACGCUCCUCACACCGCUUCUGGGACACCCGCCCACACGCUCGCCCACUGAACCCCAGGUCCCCUCACAGCCCCUUAAGAGCUCCUAAGACUUCCUCUCAGCCCCCGAAUUCUGGGACCUCUCAGGCUAGGGCCCCGGGGGGCUCCUCAGCCCACUCCUUCCUGCUCUGGGGGGCUGCUGAAGUGGCACAGUCCUCACUGACGUCUCCUGGGCCUUAAGGAAGAGAAUGAAAGAGAAUCGGGCCUACGCUGAGUAGCCUGGAGAGGAGUCAGCCACACACACUCUGGGUGCCCUCGGGGUGAUGGGAGCGACUAGGUCCAUCUGACCCUAGCGGAGUCACUGCUGCUCCCACCUCUGAGGAAGAGACGCAGUUCCAGCCUUGUGGAGUCCCGGGUCUGAUGGAGGAGAGACCCUCCUCUUUAUUAAGGAAGUUCCCAAGGUGACAAGGGUGGCACUAAGCCUAUCUUCUUAAGGCAGAGACCAGGCCCCACCCGUGAAACCUCAAGUCAGAAAGGGAAGACGUGUCACCUUCUGACAAAGGAAACUUGUCACCCAUAGGGUGCCAUUUGUCAGAUACUAACAAUAAUUCACUUUUAUUCGCACUGGAUUGGGUACAGUCUCUUAGCUAGGUACUAUUGCUGUCUGUGUUUUGCAGAAAAGGAAAGCUGAAGCAGAAAGGCUAAAAGCAACUUGCCCCCGGGGUCCUGAUAAGUUGGCAAAUUGGGAAUUAGACCCAGAUCUGCCUGACACCAGAGUCUGAGCCUUUUAACACUGCCUGUCUUUCCUGUGAAAACCAGACAGCACCCGCUCUCAAGCAUGAGAUGAUGCCUCAACUGAUCACCAACUCUGCAGAGGCAGUCACUGAUACUAUCAUUUUCAUCUCCUAAUUGGAUUCCUAGGCAAAAGUGGACAUAUUCAACCUACAAUUAAAGAUGCUUAUAUUUUACAACCCA